rnacentral:rRNA from 1 species
UACGUAGGGCGCAAGCGUUGUCCGGAAUUAUUGGGCGUAAAGAGCUCGUAGGCGGUCUGUUACGUCCGCUGUGAAAACUCAGGGCUUAACCCUGAGCCUGCAGUGGGUACGGGCAGACUAGAGUGUGGUAGGGGAGAUCGGAAUUCCUGGUGUAGCGGUGGAAUGCGUAGAUAUCAGGAGGAACACCGGUGGCGAAGGCGGAUCUCUGGGCCAUAACUGACGCUGAGGAGCGAAAGCAUGGGGAGCGAACAGG